rnacentral:rRNA from 1 species
UACAGAGGGUGCAAGCAUUGUCCGGAUUUAUUGGGCGUAAAGCGUUUCGUAGGCGGAUUUGCAAGUUAUUUUUCAAAUACCAAGGCUCAACCUUGGAAAGGGGAAUAAUACUACAAGUCUUGAAUUGUAUCGGGGUUUUCGGAACUUGCGGUGUAGGGGUGUAAUCCGUUGAUAUCGCAAGGAACACCAAGGGCGAAGGCAGAAAACUAGGUACUAAUUGACGCUGAGGAACGACAGCUAGGGGAGCGAAAGGG